AAUCAGAAACGAGAAACUUCUAUCAUCAUCUCCGAACAGAAACGAUUUGGACCAUAUUCUCCUUCUUCUACGUAUUUUUUGUUUCGCUUCUGGAUUUUGAGAAAUAUAUUCUCGAUUGCUCUUCUUCAAACUCUUCUCCCUCUCUCUCUGAAUCUCUUUCCUCUCCGUUGUUGUGCUGGAUUAAGCUUGCAAAGGAAACCCCUCGGAGAGUACACCAACACCAUCCUCCAGAAUUUCCCCACAAAUGUCUUCUUAGGCUGCUUCUCUCAUCAAAUUCGCGAAUCCGAGGAGGUCGUUACCAUAGAGUACUACUAAUUAUAAGCCCUUCACGGCUGCAAAAGAGUUUGAGUCUGAGCUGAAGAUGAGCCCUGAAGAUUCUGUUGGUGACUCAUCUCCAGUAGCAAUGAGUAACAAAAAGAGGAAGAUAAUGAAGUUUCAUCGAGUUCAAAGAAAAAUAUAUGAAUGAAAAUAAAAUUCACCUUUUCUGUAUCUACAACAAUUUGUGCAAUGGGUUUAGAUCAAAUAUCCUUAUUGAA